UACGAAGGGGGCUAGCGUUGCUCGGAAUCACUGGGCGUAAAGGGUGCGUAGGCGGGUCUUUAAGUCAGGGGUGAAAUCCUGGAGCUCAACUCCAGAACUGCCUUUGAUACUGAAGAUCUUGAGUUCGGGAGAGGUGAGUGGAACUGCGAGUGUAGAGGUGAAAUUCGUAGAUAUUCGCAAGAACACCAGUGGCGAAGGCGGCUCGCUGGACCUCUUCUGACGCUGAGGCGCGAAAGCGUGGGAGCGAACAGG
rnacentral:rRNA from 1 species